rnacentral:rRNA from 1 species
GAUGAACGCUGGCGGCGUGCUUAACACAUGCAAGUCGAACGGAGAGGCUCCUGCUUGCAGGGGUACUCGAGUGGCGAACGGGUGAGUAACACGUGGGUGAUCUGCCCUGCACUUCGGGAUAAGCCUGGGAAACUGGGUCUAAUACCGGAUAGGACGAUGGUUUGGAUGCCAUUGUGGAAAGUUUUUCGGUGUGGGAUGAGCUCGCGGCCUAUCGGCUUGUUGGUGGGGUAAUGGCCUACCAAGGCGUCGACGGGUAGCCGGCCUGAGAGGGUGUACGGCCACAUUGGGACUGAGAUACGGCCCAGACUCCUACGGGAGGCAGCAGUGGGGAAUAUUGCACAAUGGGCGCAAGCCUGAUGCAGCGACGCCGCGUGGGGGAUGACGGCCUUCGGGUUGUAAACUCCUUUCGCUAGGGACGAAGCGCAAGUGACGGUACCUGGAGAAGAAGCACCGGCUAACUACGUG